GACGAACGCUGGCGGCGUGCCUAAUACAUGCAAGUAGAACGCUGAAGAGAGGAGCUUGCUCUUCUUGGAUGAGUUGCGAACGGGUGAGUAACGCGUAGGUAACCUGCCUUGUAGCGGGGGAUAACUAUUGGAAACGAUAGCUAAUACCGCAUAACAAUGGAUGACACAUGUCAUUUAUUUGAAAGGGGCAAUUGCUCCACUACAAGAUGGACCUGCGUUGUAUUAGCUAGUAGGUGAGGUAAUGGCUCACCUAGGCGACGAUACAUAGCCGACCUGAGAGGGUGAUCGGCACAACUGGGACUGAGACACGGCCCAGACUCCUACGGGAGGCAGCAGUAGGGAAUCUUCGGCAAUGGGGGCAACCCUGACCGAGCAACGCCGCGUGAGUGAAGAAGGUUUUCGGAUCGUAAAGCUCUGUUGUAAGUCAAGAACGGGUGUGAGAGUGGAAAGUUCACACUGUGACGGUAGCUUACCAGAAAGGGACGGCUAACUACGUG
rnacentral:rRNA from 1 species